GAUGAACGCUGGCGGCGUGCCUAAUACAUGCAAGUCGAGCGAACAGACGAGGAGCUUGCUCCUCUGACGUUAGCGGCGGACGGGUGAGUAACACGUGGAUAACCUACCUAUAAGACUGGGAUAACUUCGGGAAACCGGAGCUAAUACCGGAUAAUAUGUUGAACCGCAUGGUUCAAUAGUGAAAGACGGUUUUGCUGUCACUUAUAGAUGGAUCCGCGCUGCAUUAGCUAGUUGGUAAGGUAACGGCUUACCAAGGCAACGAUGCGUAGCCGACCUGAGAGGGUGAUCGGCCACACUGGAACUGAGACACGGUCCAGACUCCUACGGGAGGCAGCAGUAGGGAAUCUUCCGCAAUGGGCGAAAGCCUGACGGAGCAACGCCGCGUGAGUGAUGAAGGUCUUCGGAUCGUAAAACUCUGUUAUUAGGGAAGAACAAAUGUGUAAGUAACUAUGCACGUCUUGACGGUACCUAAUCAGAAAGCCACGGCUAACUACGUG
rnacentral:rRNA from 1 species